rnacentral:lncRNA from 1 species
AUGUUUAUUGAAAAUGUGGAAGUCUACAUGAUAAUUUUUACAAUAAAUUAAGGGUAUUACUUUUAAAAUGGGAUCUUAGUCUCUUUCAUUGAAAAUACGGGAGUUUAUAUGAUCAUUUUCCCAAACCAUAGAAGUAUAGCUAUCUUUUUAUCUCAACCAUAUUAUUUUGUAGAUUUUUCACUGUUUUUAAUGGAGACGGUCAUUUUUAAAAAUUUAAAUUUAGGAUUUACCCUUUUUUUUUGAAAGAAAAGAAAAUGACAUUCAUUGAGAGUAAUAUUUAAAGCGUCUAAGUUUGUGGGGUCCCCUUUCAAAAAACCAAAAAAAAGUUAGUGGGGUCCUAGUUAAGUUCUAAGUGUGAAUUUGAGGGAAAAAAAAAACCUGUCGUUUAAUUGCACUGGCAUGUUUCACGAAAUUGAAAGUAGUAUUUAGAUUAUGUACUGGAAAAUGAUUGCCAUUGGCUUUAAUUUCAAUUUGUCCAUUCUGAUUAAUUAGUCAUUUGGACGAUCCUUGAGUUUCUUUUCCUUUCUUUCUUUUCUUUUUAGCAUAAAAAGUCACAUUGAUUCAUUCAUUGAAAGUAACAUUUAGAGCAUCUUAGCAAGUGAGGCCUUAAUUAUUGUAUUAAGAUCGACCAGAGCUUUAUCGAUGGACUUGAUUGAGAGGAAUUGUUAACCAGUUACUAGAGUUAAAAUCCUGAGCGAAUUUGAGGCUAAAAUUUUAAUUUGGACGUUAUCUAUCUCUACCUUUUAAAUAAAUUAAAAAAAAGUACUUUAAGAAUUUGAUUUAUUUUGUGGGCUUUGCUUAGUCUAUGAACCUCAGUUUUUGUUGUUAAAAAUUAUAUUCUAUCAGAAAAAUGAUAACUUCGUGAUGCCCGCUAAUACAGCACAGCACUGUUACAAGAUUUUAAAGAAAUAAAAAUUAAUUUAGAAACAAGUAGUUAAAUCUUAUACAUACAACAACAUUGGCAUAAGAUUUUCACGGCAACUUGAUUUACUUGAUUUAAAAUGAUUUUAACUUGUGUUUUUUUGUUGAUAAAGAAUGAGCUGAACGACAGAUAGUCAUUUUCUGCCUUCUGAAAUAAUUGUUGCCUCACUGUAGAGAAUUUUGCCAUCAUUUGAGGUACUUGCUCCACAACCCUGAGUAUUUAAUGACUUAGAUUUUUUGCCCUCUCUUCUCUUCUAGUUGUUCCAACAGUAUUUAUUGACGUGCCCUUUCUUGCCACAAUUGUAACAUUUAACAUUCUUCUUACUUCUGAAUUUUGAUCUACCAUGAUUGUUACUCCCACUGGGGCCACGUUCUGUUGAUCUCCCUCUCGUCACCGAUAGAGCUUUUGCUUGUUGCGAAAAGGACAACUACAACCUAAAGAUUGGAGAAAUAGUUAUGUUGACCCCAAGUUUUCAAUAAAAGACACCAAAACUUCUUCUCGGCUAAUCUACUCUUUGACUAUAUUAAUCCCCAAAGAAAAAAAAAAACUCCAAUAUCUUAUAAUAAUGGUAAUAUAAUAUUAAAAUAAAGGUUAUAAUAUUAAAAUAAAGGUAAUAAAAUAUAGAUUUUGAAAUUUCAAUUUUUAAAAAAUGUUUUAGUAUUAAAAAAAAAUAUUUAAAUUCUUUAUAAACAAUACAAAUAUAUUGUUAAAAUAAAUGUAAUCUUUGCAUUUUUAAUUAUUUUAAAUAUUAAAAAUAUUUUAAAAGAAUGUUUAUUGAAAAUGUGGAAGUGCACAUGAUAAUUUUUACAAUAAAUUAAGGGUAUUAUUUUUAAAAUGCGAUCUUGGUAUCUUCCAUAAAAAAUACGGGAGUUUAUAUGAUCAUUUUCCCAAACCAUCGAAGUAUAGUUAUCUUUUUCCCUCAAUAAUGUUAUUUUAUAGAGUUUUCACUGUUUUUUACUGGAGACGGACAUUUUUAAAAAUUUAAAAUUAGGAUUUACCCUUUUUUUUUGUUUUGAAAGAAAAGAAAAUCACAUUCAUUGAGAGUAAUAUUUGAAGCGUCUAAGUUAGUGGGGUCCUGAAGCGUCUAAGUUAGUGGGGUCCUGGUUAACGGCAUUAAGUUCUAAGUGUGAAUUUGAGGAAAAAAAAAACCCGUCGUUUAAUUGCACUGGCAUGUUUCACGAAAUUGAAAGUAGUAUUUAGAUUAUGUACUGGAAAAUGAUUACCAUUGGCUUUAAUUUCAAUUUGUCAAUUCUGAUUAAUUAGUCAUUUGGACACGAUCCUUGAGUUUCUUUUACUUUCUUUCUUUUCUUUUUAGCAAAAAAAGUCACAUUGAUUCAUUCAUUGAAAGUAACAUUUAGAGCAUCUUAGCAAGUGAGGCCUUAAUUAUUGGUAUUAAGAUCGAGCAGAGCUUUAUCGUAGGACUUGAUUGAGAGGAAUUGUUAACCAGUCACUAGAGUUAAAAUCCUCACCAAAUUUGAGGCUAAAAUUUAAUUUGGACGUUAUCUAUCUCUACCUUUUAAAUAAAUUAAAAAAAUUACUGUAAGAAUUUGAUUUAUUUUGUGGGCUUUGCUUAGUCUACUAACCUCAGUUUUCGUUGUGAAAAACUAAGAUAACUUUCAGUUAUGCCUCUCACAUGAAUAGUGUGUGGGUCCCACAUAUGCACUAUUCAUGUGAGAGGCAUGUAUCUUACAUGCAUGUAAGAUAGAGUUUGCCUUGUUAAAAUAGGUAAAUUUGAAAUAUUAUUUUAUAAUAAAAUUAUCCUAAUCUAAAU